ACUGCGUGGAUGGUGACUCUGGGAAUAGACGCUUGAUUUGAGCUGCAGCAUGGAGACCCCGAAGUUUUAAAUAUUUCCACUCUCCCAAAUUUGUCUCAAGAUCUACUAUAGACAUUUGUUUUCAUCAUCUUACCAGUGCAAUCGUAGUGCAACAGAGAGAUGUUUUGCUGAAAGACCUGUCUGAUUAUAUGAGAAGCCUGUACUUUCAAUUCUUAUGAAAUUAUGUGAACAGUUUUUUAUGCCAAAUUUAUAUCAAAAUAUUGAGUAAAAUCAACUUUCUAAAAAUUUUCAUCCACAUUGGAAACACCUUCUUCUACUUUUAUUUUUCAGUAUUUUAAACAUAUUUUCUUCAAUGUGAAGUUCUGGCAAGAAUCAAGUUGCCGUUUGCUCAGUCAGCACUUGGGAAACUUUCUUCUAAAACUGAGACAUUCUCCACUGAGAUUCCCAUCUGUUAAAAUUCUAUGGAGAAACACAUAACUGGGCAGCUCGAGAAUUUCAUCUGCACUGUGUGGAAAUUGUUGAUCUUUUUUAGUCCUGAGAAUUUCGUCUGGAACAAAGUGCACACAUGCACAGAGUGAAUUCUGGCCAGCUCCAUUGAACAGUGUGUGAUGAGGAGUGGGGGAGGAAGACACAGAUCAGGAGAUACUAUUACAGUGCUGGGGACCAGGAACAACCAUCCAUGCCUUUGUCACUGCAGGCUAUUGAUACAUACUAUUAAAAACUACAUAAGACAACCCAGCUGGAAAUCAGAGCUGAAGAAUAAUAAACCAGCUUGAGUACCUGUUGUAACUGAACCCC
rnacentral:lncRNA from 1 species